rnacentral:rRNA from 1 species
UACGAAGGGGGCUAGCGUUGUUCGGAAUUACUGGGCGUAAAGCGCGCGCAGGCGGUUCUUCAAGUCAGUGGUGAAAGCCCGGAGCUCAACUCCGGAACUGCCAUUGAAACUGUAGAACUUGAGGAUGAGAGAGGUGAGUGGAAUUCCCAGUGUAGAGGUGAAAUUCGUAGAUAUUGGGAAGAACACCGGUGGCGAAGGCGGCUCACUGGCUCAUUUCUGACGCUCAGUCGCGACAGCGUGGGGAUCGAAACAGG